AUCUUUGUGCAGUGGCAGUACCACAGCAGAUGUGGUUAUUGCUAGUUGAAAACUAUACCAAUAAUCAUCAGCAGAAUCAGAAUUGUAUGAAGCAUAUUCCUGAAAACAAUAAUUUG